GUGCUCUCUUCAGUAGCACCUACACUGAAACUGGAAUGAUACAGAGAAGAUGAGCAUGGCCCCUGCGCAAGGAUGACACGCAAAUUCAUGAAGCGGAGACAUGUCUC